GAUGAACGCUAGCGGCAGGCCUAAUACAUGCAAGUCGAACGGUGUCUUCGGACAUAGUGGCGCACGGGUGCGUAACACGUAUGCAACCUACCUUACAUUGGGGGAUAGCCUUUCGAAAGGGAGAUUAAUACCGCAUAAGACAGUAGCUGGGCAUCCAGCAGCUGUUAAAGAUUUAUCGAUGUAAGCUGGGCAUGCGUCCAAUUAGCUAGUUGGUGAGGUAACGGCUCACCAAGGCAAUGAUUGGUAGGGGAACUGAGAGGUCAAUCCCCCACACGGGCAGUGAGAUACGGGCCAGACUCCUACGGGAGGCAGCAGUAGGGAAUAUUGGGCAAUGGACGCAAGUCUGACCCAGCCAUGCCGCGUGCAGGAUGAAGGCGUUAUGCGUUGUAAACUGCUUUUAUACAGGAAGAAACGACUCUUGCGAGAGGCAUUGACGGUACUGUAUGAAUAAGCACCGGCUAACUCCGUGCCAGCCGCCGCGGUAACAC
rnacentral:rRNA from 1 species